rnacentral:rRNA from 1 species
CAAAAACAUAGCCGCAAGGUAUGAUGUGCGGUGUUUUCUGCUCAAUGAUUAUUAAAUAGCCGCAGUACCCUGACUGUGCUAAGGUAGCGCAAUCAAUUGGCUUUUAAUUGGAGUCCGGUAUGAAGGAAAUUAUAAGGGGCUACUUUCUUAUUAAUAAUUAGUGAAUUUACUUAAUAAGUGRAAAUACUUAUAAAUAAAUAAUAGACGAGRAGACCCUAGAAAUUUUAAGAAAUAACUUUUUGUUGGGGCAACAAAGUAGUAUUAGUUAAAUCUACUAUUCUUACAUGCAAGUUAUAUCUUGACAGAUUAAAUUACUCUAGGGAUAACAGCAUAAUUUGGAAAAGUUUGUGACCUCGAUGUUGGAUUAAGGUAUUAACAUUUAAAAGAUAAAUAAUGAGCUCUGUUCGAGCA